GGGAAUAUGGCUUAGUGGUAGAGUGCUUGCCUUGCAUGCAUGAAGCCCUGGGUUUGAGUUCUCAGUACCA
rfam:Dipodomys ordii contig_2366, whole genome shotgun sequence.